rnacentral:rRNA from 1 species
UACGUAGGGGGCGAACGUUGUUCGGAAUCACUGGGCUUAAAGGGCGCGUAGGCGGGCAUUAAAGUCAGGGGUGAAAUCCCCCAGCUUAACUGGGGAACUGCCUUUGAUACUGAAUGUCUCGAGUAAGGUAGGGGCAUGCGGAACUGAUGGUGGAGCGGUGAAAUGUGUUGAUAUCAUCAGGAACUCCGGUGGCGAAGGCGGCAUGCUGGACCUUCGACUGACGC